rnacentral:snoRNA from 1 species
UGCCUUCGCGUGUUGCCCAUCCGUUGCUUUCUACAACGGAUGUGGUGUCAGAAAAGGCAUAAAUCAAAUCUUUUGGUCGGCCUUAGCGGGUUUCCUCAAUGGUGGAGCUCGUCCUAAGUUCUAUACCAAGAACAUUA